AAUAUUGAAAAGUGACCAACCUCAUGCUUACCAUAUGCUGAACCCAACCAGUAUAGGUCAUUAUCUAGGAAUGGAUGUCCAUGAUUGCCGCACAAUCACAUAUGACCGCCCUCUGAAGCCUGGUGUUGUGAUCACAAUUGAACCCGGAGUUUACAUCCCUUCCAAUUCUAAUGUUCCCGAGAGGUAAUUUCCUAGUUAAUUGAUU